AUGACAGUUUAUGUAUGAAUAUUUAUUUAUUUUAAUAGUUAAUAAAUUUUUUUUAUAAUCUCAGUAAUUAAUAUUAUUAAUUAAGGAAACUUAGAAAUAGCUAUAUUAUUAAGUAUUGGCUAAAUUUGUGCCAGCAGCCGCGGUUAUACCAAUAAUGCAAAUGAAAUUUUAUCGGGUAAAGUUAAAUUGUUUUAUAUUAAAAUUAAUAUGUAUUUAUUAGGUGAAAUUUUUAAAUUUGUUAUAUUUUAUUUAUUUAUAAAUUGAAACUUUUAAAUUUUAUUUAAAAACUAGGAUUAGAUACCCUAUUAUUUAAAAUGUAGAUAUUUUAAACCUAGGUAGUAGUAGUUAUGCUCUUGAAACUUAAAAAAUUUGGCGGUAUUUCAGUCUAUUCAGAGGAACCUGUCCUGUAAUCGAUAAUCCACGUUGGACCUUACUUUAACUUGUUUAAUUUAUAUACCGUCGUUAUCAGAAUAUUCUAUAAGGAUAAUAAUUUUCUUUAAUUUAUUUAAAAAUUAUAUCAGAUCAAGGUGUAGUUUAUGUUAUAGUAGAGAUGGGUUACAAUAAAUUUAUUUAUACGGAUUUAAAAUUGAAACUUUUUCUUUAAGGUGGAUUUGAUAGUAAAAUUAUAUAGAUUAUUAAUUUGAUUUUAGCUCUGAAAUAAGCACACAUCGCCCGUCGCUCUUAUUACUAAGAUAAGAUAAGUCGUAACAUAGUAGAUGUACUGGAAAGUGUAUCUAGAAUG
rnacentral:ncRNA from 1 species